AUGAACGCUGGCGGCGUGCCUAAUACCUGCAAGUCGAGCGAACGGACGAGAAGCUUGCUUCUCUGAUGUUAGCGGCGGACGGGUGAGUAACACGUGGAUAACCUACCUAUAAGACUGGGAUAACUUCGGGAAACCGUAGCUAAUACCGGAUAAUAUUUUGAACCGCAUGGUUCAAAAGUGAAAGACGGUCUUGCUGUCACUUAUAGAUGGAUCCGCGCUGCAUUAGAUAGUUGGUAAGGUAACGGCUUACCAAGGCAACGAUGCAUAGCCGACCUGAGAGGGUGAUCGGCCACACUGGAACUGAGACACGGUCCAGACUCCUACGGGAGGCAGCAGUAGGGAAUCUUCCGCAAUGGGCGAAAGCCUGACGGAGCAACGCCGCGUGAGUGAUGAAGGUCUUCGGAUCGUAAAACUCUGUUAUUAGGGAAGAACAUAUGUGUAAGUAACUGUGCACAUCUUGACGGUACCUAAUCAGAAAGCCACGGCUAACUACGUG
rnacentral:rRNA from 1 species